AGGAUCGGACGAUGUUAUUUUUUGACUCGUUCGGCACCUUACGAGAAAUCAAAGUGCUUGGGCUCCAGGGGGAGUAUGGUCGCAAGGCUGAAACUUAAAGAAAUUGACGGAAGGGCACCACCAGGGGUGGAGCCUGCGGCUUAAUUUGACUCAACACGGGGAAACUCACCAGGUUAACAUCGUCUGGGCCUGGAAUAGUGACAGCCUGAAGAGGCCGAAGCUAGUCCUGAACUUCAUUCGCGUGGGGAAGUCCCCAAGUCGGGCGCGGAAACGGUCCUCGGGCCGUGGUUCAGGGCGACACCAGCUGGAACAGGGGACGCCUCCCCACGAGUUACGACUCGUGGCGGCCAAUCCUGUGGCGAGCUCAGGUAACGCUGAGCCGUCGCAACGCGCGCUAAGCGGUGGGCUCUCUAGGAGAGCUUAAGGGACGUGCUAAUCCCAUGGGAAACCAUGGCUUCUCUGAGUAGGCCCGACAGCCGAAGCAGAGAGGGCAGGCGGUCGCAAGACUGCCUGUGUAGUCGAAGUAUUGUGUGAGGGUCACCUAGUGGCUCGCACGCAGUAUAUGGCAAAUGCCAGACACAAUGAGGAUUGACAGAUUGAGAGCUCUUUCUUGAUUUUGUGGGUGGUGGUGCAUGGCCGUUCUUAGUUGGUGGAGUGAUUUGUCUGCUUAAUUGCGAUAACGAACGAGACUACUUUAACCCUGCUAAAUGAGCCCG
rnacentral:rRNA from 1 species